rnacentral:rRNA from 1 species
GGCUUAGAGUUUGAUCACGGCUCAGGAUGAACGCUAGCUACAGGCUUAACACAUGCAAGUCGAGGGGCAGCAUGAUUGAAGCUUGCUUCAAUUGAUGGCGACCGGCGCACGGGUGAGUAACACGUAUCCAACCUGCCGAUGACUCUGGGAUAGCCUUCCGAAAGAAAGAUUAAUACCGGAUGGCAUAAUUCUUCCGCAUGGUAGAAUUAUUAAAGAAUUUCGGUCGUCGAUGGGGAUGCGUUCCAUUAGGUUGUUGGCGGGGUAACGGCCCACCAAGCCUUCGAUGGAUAGGGGUUCUGAGAGGAAGGUCCCCCACAUUGGAACUGAGACACGGUCCAAACUCCUACGGGAGGCAGCAGUGAGGAAUAUUGGUCAAUGGACGAGAGUCUGAACCAGCCAAGUAGCGUGAAGGAUGACUGCCCUAUGGGUUGUAAACUUCUUUUAUACGGGAAUAAAGUGCAGCACGUGUGCUGUUUUGUAUGUACCGUAUGAAUAAGGAUCGGCUAACUCCGUGCCAGCAGCCGCGGUAAUAAGGAGGAUCCGAGCGUUAUCCGGAUUUAUUGGGUUUAAAGGGAGCGUAGGCGGAUGCUUAAGUCAGUUGUGAAAGUUUGCGGCUCAACCGUAAUAUUGCAGUUGAUACUGGGUGUCUUGAGUACAGUAGAGGCAGGUGGAAUUCGUGGUGUAGCGGUGAAAUGCUUAGAUAUCACGAAGAACUCCGAUUGCGAAGGCAGCCUGCUGGACUGUAACUGACGCUGAUGCUCGAAAGUGUGGGUAUCAAACAGGAUUAGAUACCCUGGUAGUCCACACAGUAAACGAU